rnacentral:lncRNA from 1 species
AAAUACAGUUCAUAAGUAGCAAGCCAUGUGUAGAUUUGCUAUAAAAAUAUUAGAUUAAAUUUCUUCAACCUAGGAUAGCUUUAAUCAGUCUCUACUUCCAGCUCCUUACUAGGUUUUCUAUAUAGUUUUUAAUUUUUUUUUCUUUUGCUCAUUUGUUACACCUAAGAUCAGGAAUGUGUUGUCACUGAACAAUCAUUAAAAUAAUGAUUUUUCUAUUUGUAGUGUUGUUCUGCUACAAAACCAGAGCAAGUAGAAGAACAGCUACAUAGCAAUAUCAACAGCAGAUGACCCCAAGAGACAAAGUUCAUUUGGAGUAUACAGACACUACACUGACAGUGCAAAGAAUUUUCCAGUAGCACCAGAGUUAGAGCGUACAAAAAGCAUGGACAGAAGUACUCCACAGCACCUUGCCUUUGCUUAAGAGGAUAACUCUGAUAACUCCUAUGCUGACCACAGGAAACUUGUUCUCAGUGACUUUGGGUGCAGAUCAAAAUGGGAAAAAUGUCCUAAACAGCAUUGAGGAUGGAUUCUGAAGGGGAAAGGAUGGACGAUCUUUUAAUCCUCCUUAUAAAAAUCACAUCUUUGUGUUAGCAAAGCAGGAAUAUAUCACGCUGGAAGCAUCUGGUAAAGAGACAUAAAUUCUGUUGCCUAAACACACGUAUUUGGAACAACAAACUAUAUUUAUGUUGCCUGAUAGUAUCUAAAACAUCCUCACAGAGCUGGUGGAUAAGAAAUGAAGAAACUCAUAAAGUCUUUGGACCACAGGCUGGAGUUCAAGCAGGUAUGAGUAUCUCAAAUGAUAUGCAGAUUUUGGCAGCUCAUACAGCUGAGAUUUUAACCUAUAUACAUUCAGUUUUAGAUAAGUAGCUUUUAACACCAGAAGACCAAUUUUUGUCUCUGAUUUUAAUGUUCUUCAUAAUGGAAAUGAAAGAACCCCGUCUAAGAAAUAAUACUUUUGCUUUUGCAACAUGAUGAU